rnacentral:lncRNA from 1 species
GAAAACUUCUGUGUUUACCAGCCCAGCUGCCAAAGAACUUCUAUACCAGCUCUGGGACCCUGAGAAAAUCCACUGUCAGUACAACUGGAUUCAAUUGGUCAUCUGUGCUCAAAAGACAUAUUCAGGAUCUACCACUUACAAGGUGCGUUCGUCAGCAUGCAGUCUCCAUCCCGUAUCACAUUCCCAGUGGAAGGUGCUCAGAGUGUUAAUACAGCGCUGCUGGCAGCCUCCAUUCACCACCGCACAUUCAUCGACAUCUAGAGGAGGAAGACAGAUGGUCAGGAUUACAAUGUCAUUCCAAUGUCAGCUUCGAAGAAGUGGCACAAUAUUUCUUUGAUACACAGUAUGUGUUAUAUUGUACAAAGGCACCAUCUCUGUUGCCACAAAUCUUUGCUUGUUUGAUCCAUUUUGUUUCAUCGUGUAAACAAGAAAAUGUACCCAGAAACUUUAUUGAGAUUUUUAAAGCCCAUGAAUGAUGAGCAUAGGGAUUGCUCAUAAUUUUCUAUUCUUCAAAUAUUGGUUAAUUAGACAGAUCUGAGAUAUAGGUAUUUCCUUGGGGAAGGAAAACUGGAGGGGAGAAUUACAAUAAGCUACUCUAUCAGGAGCAACACACGCUAGUAGAUAAACACCUAUUAUUGGUCUGGCACUGCUGAAUAAAGCCAGUGAUAGAGUCUAGACCUUGAAUCUC